AACUUGUUGCAACGGGUCACGUGGUUCUGGCAUCGAUUAAGAACGCAGCGAAAUGCGAUAAGUAAUGUGAAUUGCAGAAUUCAGUGAAUCAUCGAAUCUUUGAACGCACAUUGCGCCCCUUGGUAUUCCGAGGGGCAUGCCUGUUCGAGCGUCAUUAUAACCACUCAAGCCUCGGCUUGGUCUUGGGGUCCCGCGGUCUCGCGGCCCUUAAAAUCAGUGGCGGUGCCGUCUGGCUCUAAGCGUAGUAAUUCUCUCGCUAUAGGGUCCAGGUGGUGGCUUGCCAAAACCCCCCAUUUUUCUAUGGUUGACCUCGGAUCAGGUAGGGAUACCCGCUGAACUUAAGCAUAUCAAUAAGCGGAGGCU
rnacentral:misc_RNA from 1 species